AGCGAACGCUGGCGGCAGGCCUAACACAUGCAAGUCGAACGAACCUUUCGGGGUUAGUGGCGGACGGGUGAGUAACACGUGGGAACGUGCCUUUAGGUUCGGAAUAACUCAGGGAAACGUGUGCUAAUACCGAAUGUGCCCUUCGGGGGAAAGAUUAAUCGCCUUUAGAGCGGCCCGCGUCUGAUUAGCUAGUUGGUUGAGGUAAAGGCUCACCAAGGCGACGAUCAGUAGCUGGUCUGAGAGGAUGAUCAGCCACAUUGGGACUGAGACACGGCCCAAACUCCUACGGGAGGCAGCAGUGGGGAAUCUUGCGCAAUGGGCGAAAGCCUGACGCAGCCAUGCCGCGUGAAUGAUGAAGGUCUUAGGAUUGUAAAAUUCUUUCACCGGGGACGAUAAUGACGGUACCCGGAGAAGAAGCCCCGGCUAACUUCGUG
rnacentral:rRNA from 1 species